rnacentral:rRNA from 1 species
UGGGGGAUAUUGCACAAUGGGCGCAAGCCUGAUGCAGCGACGCCGCGUGGGGGAUGAAGGCCUUCGGGUUGUAAACUUCUUUUGCUCUGAACAAGGCGCACUUUGGGGUGUGUUGAGUGUAGGGGUUGAUUAGCGCCGGCUAACUACGUGCCAGCAGCCGCGGUAAUACGUAGGGCGCGAGCGUUGUCCGGAAUUAUUGGGCGUAAGGGGCUUGUAGGUGGCUGGUUGCGUCUGUCGUGAAAGCUCAUGGCUUAACUGUGGGUUUGCGGUGGGUACGGGCUGGCUUGAGUGCAGUAGGGGAGGCUGGAAUUCCUGGUGUAGCGGUGGAAUGCGCAGAUAUCAGGAGGAAUACCGGUGGCGAAGGCGGGUCUCUGGGCUGUUACUGACACUGAGGAGCGAAAGCAUGGGGAGCGAACAGG